AACGAACGCUGGCGGCAUGCCUAACACAUGCAAGUCGAACGAGACCUUCGGGUCUAGUGGCGCACGGGUGCGUAACGCGUGGGAACCUGCCCUUAGGUUCGGAAUAACUCCCCGAAAGGGGUGCUAAUACCGGAUAAUGUCUUCGGACCAAAGAUUUAUCGCCUUUGGAUGGGCCCGCGUUGGAUUAGCUAGUUGGUAGGGUAAAAGCCUACCAAGGCGACGAUCCAUAGCUGGUCAGAGAGGAUGAUCAGCCACACUGGGACUGAGACACGGCCCAGACUCUUAGGGAAUGCAGCAGUGGCGGAUACAGGACAACGGCGUAAGGGCUGAUCCACCAAGGCCGCGUAAGUGAUGAAGGCGUGAGGGAAAAACAGCACUUUUACACGCCACGAUAAUGACGGUACCGGAAGAAUAAGCACCGGCUAACUCCGUG
rnacentral:rRNA from 1 species